AUAUGAAUAUUUUAUAUUUAAUAAUUUAAAUUAAAAUAUUUAUUUAAAUUAAAAUUUUGAUUUUUAAUUUAUAAUUAAUUUUUUUAAUUUGGUAUAUAUAAAGUUUGUUAAAAAAUUUGUUUUUAAUAUUGAGAUCUAUGAUAAUUAAUGAAAAUUAUAUCUGGGAAUUAAAAUUAGUAGAUUUAAAAUUAAGUGCCAGCAAUAGCGGUUAAACUUAUUCUGCAAAUUAAUUUAUUUAAUUCAAAAUUAGUUUUUUAUAUAAAAAAUUUAUUUUAAUAUAAAAAAUUUUAGUGAAAUAUUUAUUUUUUAUUAAUUAAUAAAUUUAAUUAUAUAUAUAAUUUAUAAAAUUUGCAAAAAAACUAGGAUUAGAUACCCUAUUAUAAAAUCUAAAAUUAAUUGAAUUAACAAUUAAAUGUAAAGCAUUAAAAUUUUAAAAUCUGGCGGUUAUAUACUCUGAUUAGAGAAACUUGUAUAAUUUGAUUGAUAAUCCACGAUAAGAUAUACUUUUUAUAUGCUUAUGUAUUGCUGUUGGAAAAUAAUUUAUUUAUUAAUUAUUAUAAUAUUAUUAGUUUUAUAUUAAUUAAUAAUUUAUUAUUAUAACAUUAUUAAUUGUUAUAAAAUUAAUGAUUAUAAUUCAAGUCAAAAUGUUGUUUUAAAAAGAUUUAUAUGAGUUUCAAUUAUUUUUAUUAUUAGAUAAUUAAUUUUAAUUAUUAAUUUGAAAGAGAAUUUAAGAGUAAAUUUUAAUAAUUUUUAAAGUUGAAAAAAGUCUUAUAUAGCGUACAAAUUGCCCGUCAAUUUCGUUAAUAAUGAAAUAAGUCGUAACAUAGUAAAAGUACUGGAAAGUGUUUUUAGAUUA
rnacentral:rRNA from 1 species